rnacentral:rRNA from 1 species
GAAGGUGGCCUGUGAGGGUUGCUGGAGGUAUCAGAAGUGCGAAUGCUGACAUAAGUAACGAUAAAGCGGGUGAAAAGCCCGCUCGCCGGAAGACCAAGGGUUCCUGUCCAACGUUAAUCGGGGCAGGGUGAGUCGACCCCUAAGGCGAGGCCGAAAGGCGUAGUCGAUGGGAAACGGGUUAAUAUUCCCGUACUUGGUGUUACUGCGAAGGGGGGACGGAGAAGGCUAUGUUGGCCGGGCGACGGUUGUCCCGGUUUAAGCGUGUAGGUGUGUGUUCCAGGUAAAUCCGGUUCACUUUAACACUGAGGCGUGACGACGAGGCACUACGGUGCUGAAGCAACAAAUGCCCUGCUUCCAGGAAAAGCCUCUAAGCAUCAGGUAACAUCAAAUCGUACCCCAAACCGACACAGGUGGUCAGGUAGAGAAUACCAAGGCGCUUGAGAGAACUCGGGUGAAGGAACUAGGCAAAAUGGUGCCGUAACUUCGGGAGAAGGCACGCUGACACGUAGGUGAAGUGAUUUACUCAUGGAGCUGAAGUCAGUCGAAGAUACCAGCUGGCUGCAACUGUUUAUUAAAAACACAGCACUGUGCAAACACGAAAGUGGACGUAUACGGUGUGACGCCUGCCCGGUGCCGGAAGGUUAAUUGAUGGGGUCAGCGCAAGCGAAGCUCCUGAUCGAAGCCCCGGUAAACGGCGGCCGUAACUAUAACGGUCCUAAGGUAGCGAAAUUCCUUGUCGGGUAAGUUCCGACCUGCACGAAUGGCGUAAUGAUGGCCAGGCUGUCUCCACCCGAGACUCAGUGAAAUUGAACUCGCUGUGAAGAUGCAGUGUACCCGCGGCAAGACGGAAAGACCCCGUGAACCUUUACUAUAGCUUGACACUGAACAUUGAGCCUUGAUGUGUAGGAUAGGUGGGAGGCUUUGAAGUGUGGACGCCAGUCUGCAUGGAGCCGACCUUGAAAUACCACCCUUUAAUGUUUGAUGUUCUAACGUGGACCCGUUACCCGGGUUGCGGACAGUGUCUGGUGGGUAGUUUGACUGGGGCGGUCUCCUCCUAAAGAGUAACGGAGGAGCACGAAGGUUGGCUAAUCCUGGUCGGACAUCAGGAGGUUAGUGCAAUGGCAUAAGCCAGCUUGACUGCGAGCGUGACGGCGCGAGCAGGUGCGAAAGCAGGUCAUAGUGAUCCGGUGGUUCUGAAUGGAAGGGCCAUCGCUCAACGGAUAAAAGGUACUCCGGGGAUAACAGGCUGAUACCGCCCAAGAGUUCAUAUCGACGGCGGUGUUUGGCACCUCGAUGUCGGCUCAUCACAUCCUGGGGCUGAAGUAGGUCCCAAGGGUAUGGCUGUUCGCCAUUUAAAGUGGUACGCGAGCUGGGUUUAGAACGUCGUGAGACAGUUCGGUCCCUAUCUGCCGUGGGCGCUGGAGAACUGAGGGGGGCUGCUCCUAGUACGAGAGGACCGGAGUGGACGCAUCACUGGUGUUCGGGUUGUCAUGCCAAUGGCACUGCCCGGUAGCUAAAUGCGGAAGAGAUAAGUGCUGAAAGCAUCUAAGCACGAAACUUGCCCCGAGAUGAGUUCUCCCUGAGACUUAAAGUCUCCUGAAGGAACGUUGAAGACGACGACGUUGAUAGGCCGGGUGUGUAAGCGCAGCGAUGCGUUGAGCUAACCGGUACUAAUGAACCGUGAGGCUUAACCUUACAACGCCGAAG